AUGGCGACCGCCACGACCACCGCGCUGAGCAUGAAGCUCCUCAUCGACACCAAGGCCCGGCGCGUGCUGUUCGCGGAGGCGAGCAAGGACGUGGUGGACUUCCUCUUCUCCCUCCUCGCGCUGCCCGUCGGCACCGCCGUCAAGCUGCUCGGGAAGGAGGCCAUGGUCAGCUGCGUCGGCAGCCUCUACGGCAGCGUAGAGAAGCUCGACGGCACCUACGUCCAGCCCGGCGCCGCCAAGGACGCGCUGCUCCACCCCUCUGUCCUCUCGCCGGCGGUAAGUAGCAAAAGCUCCCUCCUAGGCUUGCCGGCGCCGCCAUCCCCACAAGCGAAGACGUUCUACCGAUGCAGCCUGCAGUGCAUCUGCUACAGCGGCGGAUAUGGCAGCAGCAGCAGCGAGCAGGCUAGAUGCAACACCUGCCGGACUUACAUGACGGAGAGCUACGCAACUUCGUGUCCAUCAUGUAACAACCAGAUGACCACGCCCUUCACGGUCGUGCCGUCGGCCGGGUCCGGAAGCAAGGUGGCGGCCAGCGUCAGUGGGAAGGGGUUCGUGCAGGGCAUCGUGACGUACACGGUGAUGGACGACCUCACCGUGACGCCCAUGUCCUCCAUCUCCAGCAUCACCCUGCUCAACACAUUCGCAGUCAGGGACCUCAGCGCGCUCCAGGAGAAGACCGUGCAGCUCGGCUAUGACCAGGGUCUGGAGAUCCUCAAGGCGUCGCUGCAGUCCAAGACCGUCCUCACCGACGUUUUCCUGAAGCCCGCCAGCAGCGCUUGA
rnacentral:rRNA from 1 species